rnacentral:tmRNA from 1 species
GGGGCCGAUCGGUUUCGACAGAGGGAAUAAGACUUACUAUUGCGACUCGAGUUGCUCAGACUCGUAAAACGGAGCACCCAAAAUAAUCGCCGCCUAACACGCCCGAUUAUUGUCACUCGUACCAUGUGCGCAGAAGGACGGAGCCAAUUCACCGCAGCUUGGCAACAGAAGCGGAGAAUGACGGUCGGAACAGACGACUGACGAUCGCGAAAGAGUGAUUGACAUCACGCAAUAGACGCGACGAGUUCGGCAGUAUUGCCGAUUGGCAACCCAGUUAGCCAAGCGUGAGCGUUACACGCAAAAUCUUGGGAAUAGUCGUAGCAGGGUAAGAAUUUACCUUCUGGACGGGGGUUCGAUUCCCCCCGGCUCCACGU